rnacentral:rRNA from 1 species
CGGAGAGUUUGAUCCUGGCUCAGAUUGAACGCUGGCGGCAUGCCUUACACAUGCAAGUCGAACGGCAGCACGGGAGCUUGCUCCUGGUGGCGAGUGGCGAACGGGUGAGUAAUAUAUCGGAACGUGCCCUAGAGUGGGGGAUAACUAGUCGAAAGAUUAGCUAAUACCGCAUACGAUCUACGGAUGAAAGUGGGGGAUCGCAAGACCUCAUGCUCGUGGAGCGGCCGAUAUCUGACUAGCUAGUUGGUGAGGUAAAGGCUCACCAAGGCAUCGAUCAGUAGCUGGUCUGAGAGGACGACCAGACACACUGGGACUGAGACACGGCCCAGACUCCUACGGGAGGCAGCAGUGGGGAAUUUUGGACAAUGGGGGCAACCCUGAUCCAGCAAUGCCGCGUGAGUGAAGAAGGCCUUCGGGUUGUAAAGCUCUUUUGUCAGGGAAGAAACGGUGAGGGCUAAUAUCCUUUGCUAAUGACGGUACCUGAAGAAUAAGCACCGGCUAACUACGUGCCAGCAGCCGCGGUAAUACGUAGGGUGCAAGCGUUAAUCGGAAUUACUGGGCGUAAAGCGUGCGCAGGCGGUUAUACAAGACAGAUGUGAAAUCCCCGGGCUCAACCUGGGAAUUGCAUUUGUGACUGUAUGGCU